rnacentral:rRNA from 1 species
AUAACAUCCGGAAACGGGUGCUAAUACCGCAUAGUUUCUUGAUCGCAUGAUCGGGAAAGGAAAGACGGCCUUUGUGCUGUCGCUUAUGGAUGGACCCGCGGCGUAUUAGUUAGUUGGUGAGGUAACGGCUCACCAAGACGAUGAUACGUAGCCGACCUGAGAGGGUGAUCGGCCACAUUGGGACUGAGACACGGCCCAAACUCCUACGGGAGGCAGCAGUAGGGAAUCUUCCGCAAUGGACGAAAGUCUGACGGAGCAACGCCGCGUGAGUGAAGAAAAGGUUUUCGGAUCGUAAAACUCUGUUGUCAGAGAAGAACAAGUUGGAGAGUAACUGCUCCAGCCUUGACGGUAUCUGACCAGAAAGCCACGGCUAACUACGUGCCAGCCGCAGC